GCAGAGGCAGCCCUGGCAGGCACCCUCUCCUGUGCGCCAUUCCGAGAGGAGAGCGGCUCCCGAGGGUUCCUACCGAAACGCCAGGCCACGGGGAGGGCUGAGGGCUGGCGUGCAGGGGGUGGAGUGCACGUGCCCGCAGGAGGCGUGGGAGAGGCCAGGACAGGCCACACUGGACCCAGAGGGCACGCUGCCGCCCACAGCCUGGCUCAGAUUCUCCCAACGUGUGUGUCCUCAGCAAACACGGCAGAUUCCACCUCCCAGAUCCAGUUAGAACCAGCCACCUCGCCUCUCCGCUCGGCCAGGCUCCGGCAGCCUCCCCUGUGACCGGCCACCGCGGCCCUUUCGCCUUCGUGGGGGCAUCGCUGGGAGGAAUCCUGAGGCCAUGGGGUGAGGACACCCUCCCACCCCACCUCCCGAUCACAGCCAGCUCCUCGCCGAGGUCUGUGAGGGCCUGUCCCGUGUCACCCGGGCCAGCCACGCUGCAGGCCCCUCGUUCUUCCGGCCUCUCUCUCCCUUUCCCGCCCGCACUGAAGACUCUCCCUCUGCUGGCAUCGGCCCCACCCCGCUUCCCAGGUUGCAGCUGCAGAUCUGGAGGGUUUUCCCUGUGGGAAGUCACCUCACCCCUCGCAAGUACCUUCCUGCGACAACCCGGGUUCUGACUGACCCACCGGCCUGUGUUCUCUUUGGCGGCGGUUUUGUUUGUUCCGUUUUAAUCCAAGCCCCCACGUCAAUGGAGAGUCUGGAUUCGAAUUUGGCUUCAUCCUCUAAGUCUCUCAGCCCCAGUGUCCUCUUAGAAAAUGAGUCUGGCCCUGGCU